AGUAAUGAACUUUGUCCUUUGAAUGGUUAAAGCUGGUGCCAUACCGUACUGGCGUAUGAACAUUAUCAGAACCCAGAAGCAUCUUCUCAUCAACAGGUAAGUCAAAGAACCUUGUAGCUGCAUCAAGCGCAUCUUUCACCACCGAUGAUGAUAUUCCAUGGUUUAUAAUCUGUAGAUACAUAAGUUUGGAUCUGAGUUCUGUACUGAAAUAAUGCAAAUGAUACAAUAGAGUAGUGUGUUUUAAAUGAAACCGAGAUACUGACAUUUCAUAAAGUUAGAAGAUAAGCAUCUUCACAUGUCUAUUUUUCUUAUUGUCAAUAAAGACAGUAACUAAGGACUUUGUUCUUUUUCUGAUUAGGGACUUUGUUGAGUAUGAUAUAAAUGCAAAAAGACAAGAACUGCCUUUCUCAUAGAGUCAUAUAUCAGUGUGACUACUAGAUGCUACACGUACAUUCCAGACUAGUCUUAGUGAGCCGAGGAAUGAAACACAUGACUGAAUUUAAUGAACUGAGAAAUGUAGACACAUGAAUAAGACACUUAAGCACCAAACUUCUUAUUCAUUUGGGAUAGUAAUAAUGGUUGAAACAGAGUUACAUGACUUGUAAUGUGAAUGUAGCCAAAAAGAGUAUAGCAUUACCUGAAAAAAACCAAAUCCUUUGCAGGCCAUUUCAAUCUCAUGGAUUACACAGGGUCUAAGCAAAGGAUCGUGUAAGAGGGAGAGAUCAAUGAAAGGAAGUGUGAUGGUAUCAGUGCCACUGCUUGAACCGAGCAUUGGUCGUUGUGAAGGUGGAAGAAUGUAACGGGUAGGCACGCGAAGGACACCUGACUCGGUAAGUGCCAUGGCACUAGUAAAGCAAUCAUCAAGUACACUCUUAUUUGUUUCCUCCAUUGGUUUCUCAAGAAUCUGUUUUGGUACUUGAGGUUAUGUGUGUUGAUCCCACCGUGUACUAAGUUAUAGUAAGCAAGCAUGCCAAACCCAUUUUUAUAUAGCCAUGAAGAUUAGAUAACCUGGUCUUAAAAAAAGGUCAGCAUUACUACUUUUCUCUUUGAAUACGGUUUUGGAAACUACCUGCUUUGUGUUCAUAUACAUAUGCUAUAAAUGAAUGGUUAGAUCACUAGUCCAAAUAAAGAAUCCCCAUUUGCUUAUGGAUAGGCCACGUUGGAUUGAAAGGUAUCUGUGAAGGGUGGAUGACUAGUUGCAUGUUUUGCUUUUGGGAUAUUUUAUGAAGAAAAAAGAGUCAUCAUCAUAUGCUAUUGAUAACACUAUUCUAUGGUACAACUUAACGGUUUCUCUCUCUCUCUCUUUUUUUUUUGUUAUCAAAAGAAUAUAUUAUCUUUGAUUUGUUUGUUCUGUGUAAAUGAAACUAGUAUUGGUAUAGGUUCAUUGGGGGUGUUACUCAAAAAUAUUAAUGGGUUUUGGAGUUAUACGAAGGUGAAUGAUGUUAUCUGUAUUUGGCUCAAAAACAAUGAGAUGAGAAAAAGUGAUGAUUUGGUUUCUUGUGCCUCAGGGGGGGAGAGACAAAAGAAGAUAGAGAGAGAGAAAGUGGUGAGAUUCAAUGGAAGAAGAAUUAAAGAAGUAAAUGAACAUAAAAUAAGUGGUGACAAUUGAGAGACAGUUUCAAGUUGAUGGGAGCUGGUUCCAAAAUCCAAUCUGCCACUUCUUUCCCCCAAGUGAUGUGUGAAAUGAAAAUGUCAUAAAACAAAAAGAUCUUUUGGUGGCAUCUUAAUUAAACGCGUUGAGUUUGGAACUUUGGAUUAUGUCGGUGUUUGGGCCGAAGAAUUGUAAGCCCAUCUUUGUUUGUAGUAACAAGUUUCGGCCUUGGGCAGCUCUAUAGCCCUUUGGAGCCUCAUCAAUCAUUUGUUUUUCCG
rnacentral:lncRNA from 1 species